rnacentral:misc_RNA from 1 species
ACACUCAUUUGUGGCAUUGCAUAUCUUAUAAUGCUUUAAGUCUUACAUUUUAACAUGUUUAUUGCAAGCCGGAAGUUUGAUUCAGAAGAAAAUAUACUUGUAAGUACCAAAAUGUGGAGUAUGCAGCAUUUUUUGCUUGUCGUCGUUGCACCGCUCUGUUGAAGUCAAGCUACAAAUAAGAUAUGCAAUGCCACAAAUGAGUGU